rnacentral:rRNA from 1 species
UACAGAGGGUGCAAGCGUUAACCGGAAUUACUGGGCGUAAAGCGCGCGUAGGUGGUUUGUUAAGUUGGAUGUGAAAGCCCCGGGCUCAAUCUGGGAACUGCAUCCAAAACUGGCAAGCUAGAGUACGGUAGAGGGUGGUGGAAUUUCCUGUGUAGCGGUGAAAUGCGUAGAUAUAGGAAGGAACACCAGUGGCGAAGGCGACCACCUGGACUGAUACUGACACUGAGGUGCGAAAGCGUGGGGAGCAAACAGG